AUAAUAUUUGGGAAUGAUGUUCUCCCUUAGUUAAUUCUAAAACCGCAUUUAGUGCUGAUGACUUCUACCUAUAU
rnacentral:ncRNA from 2 species